rnacentral:rRNA from 1 species
UACAGAGGUCCCGAGCGUUGUUCGGAUUCAUUGGGCGUAAAGGGUGCGUAGGCGGCUUCCUAAGUUUGAUGUGAAAUCCUGGGGCUCAACCCUGGAACUGCAUUGAAUACUGGGAGGCUAGAGUACUGGAGAGGAAACUGGAAUUUACGGUGUAGCAGUGAAAUGCGUAGAGAUCGUAAGGAAGACCAGUGGCGAAGGCGGGUCUCUGGACAGUUCCUGACACUGAGGCACGAAGGCCAGGGGAGCAAACGGG